rnacentral:rRNA from 1 species
UACAGAGGCCUCAAGCGUUGUUCGGAUUCAUUGGGCGUAAAGGGUGCGUAGGCGGCGCGGUAAGUCGGGUGUGAAAUCUCGGGAGCUUAACUCCGAAACUGCAUUCGAUACUGCCGUGCUUGAGGACUGGAGAGGAGACUGGAAUUUACGGUGUAGCGGUGAAAUGCGUAGAUAUCGUAAGGAAGACCAGUGGCGAAGGCGGGUCUCUGGACAGUUCCUGACGCUGAGGCACGAAGGCCAGGGGGAGCAAAACGGGG